AUACGCAGACAUUUGUAUGAUGAUGUCCAACUCGUUUUUAUGAAGAAAAAAGCCUUAAGUUUUCAGAAACAUCUAUACGAAAAAAACUUUGUCUGAUGGGGACUUUUUUUGCCGGUUUUUUCAAAGCUUCAAACUGAUUCAGUGUUUUUGUCGUCGUAAUUUGUUAAUUAUUUGAGUAUAAAAAUAUAUAGCUAUUCAUUGUAGGCCUAUUUUAUGUUUUUUAUUUAGCCUAUAUUAUAUUUAUAUUAUUAUUUUCUGUCCUGUUCUGUUGUUUAGGCUAUCUGUUCUGGGCCGGGUUUCCCGAUAUCGAUGUAGCCUAGCCUGUCUUAGCUCUUAAAAGCGCUCUCUACAUGCAAGGUUAUGAACGUUAGCCGCAAUUCCUCGCGCGUUUCCCAAAAAUGUACAUUUUCCCAAAAAUGUAGGCUACUGAACUCGUAGAACGCGAGAAUAGGUUACUACGUGCUACUUGAGUCGCUGUCCAUUCGCUGACGUGCUGAACUAGGCUAUACUAACCUUAUAUGGAAUCGUAUUCUGAACGUUUAACCUAACAAUCGUCAUCUUUUGUGUAUUAGGAAUCAAGACAGGUAAAAAAAAAAAAAUUAUAUAUAUAUUAUUUUCAUUAAUUGUAACAAUAGCCAUUUUAUUUGCUCUUUUUGUUGUGCUACUACUGACACAAGACAGCAAAUAAAAUUGGCAAAUAAAAACAACAACUGUAAAACAAAGCAACUGCAUAAUUUAUUCUGUGCAAUGCAUUCUGGGAGUCAGUGAGUAGCUAUACUAAGUCGUUAGUAAACCUAAAUGAAAGGAUCAAGUACCCCCUACAGUUCUUUUUUAGUUACUAGAACUCUUGUGUAAGUUAACUAUACUAACUAAGCAUUUGUCAGUACAACAUACUAUUCCUAUUUCACUUUACUUAGUUUUUUCAAGGCAAUCAGUUUGCAUACUUUUUUUAAGUAAGCCCAACUUAUUAGAUUUUACAGUGUGAGCGCAAACACCCUCAUCUAGAUACGUCUAAUUUUCAUCGUUUUAGAAAGAAGUCCUGCUAUGAGGAAUUUACUUCAGAAGAACAGCGAGAUCUGACACUGCUUUAUUCAGCAAAGAAGAUAAUUUAUGUAAUUUAUACUUACCUACAUUAGUUAACGUGUUAUUUUUACAUAAACCUGUAAGGAUUUUACUAGUUGGGCUUUUCCUGAACAUCUUGCCAAACUGAAAUGU
ensembl:lncRNA